AUGACAAUCAAUCAGUCCCAAGUGUCAAUGGACAUCACUCCCGCAAUCUCAGCCCCAUACUCGCUGAAUUCAGCGCCAACACAACAAUGGUUGCGGGCAAGGGGGGAUCAAGAGACCCCUCUCCGCACCCCCAAGCUGCUCCUGGUACUUCUGCUUCAAAGCCUGCCCCAUAGUGGCUUCUGGCUGCCCCGGGAGCGAUUUAUUCGAGCAGCGAGGUGCGCUCGCACCGAGGGAAGCGUGCAAUCCCCCUCCCGUCCCCGCGCUUCGCCCUUCCAGCACUCAGCACACCACCAUUUUUCCUCAAACAAAGCUGAAGAAAACCCGAACUUGGGCGACAAUAACGGCGAACGGGGAACUUCCCAGGGGAGGGUGAGGGCAGCGGGUGAAACCCGGAGGCAGCUGCCGGGGCCGGGGCGCUGCAGGCGGUGGCAGCGCGCAAAGUAUUCCGGAGCCAAAGCAGACAAAAGAGGGUGUAGCAGCUGCACGGGAGCGGCAGCCCCGGCGUGCCGCCGGCUCCGCGCGGGAGGAACAAAGUCUAUUUCGGGGAGAAAAAAAAAAAAAAUCCCCCCCGUGUGCCUCACCUCCCCUGCCCGCUUGGGCCCCCCCCCGCCUCCCAGGGCUCCGGGCGCGCCUCCAAGACCCCCCCGCGCCAGAGCUCGGCCGGGAGCCCGCACCCCGCGGAGACACCGGAGCUUCAAGUUUGGGGGCGCGGGGCACCCCUCGCACCCCCCAGCGCUUACCUGCGGGGAGGAGCCGGGCGUCCGCCGCUCUCACGGCGGGGAGCGCUGCGGGGCUGCGCGGCGCGGGGAGGAGGACAUGGGGCCGCUCCGGCGAGGCGGCGGCUGGAUCGGGCUCAGGCGGCGGCUCCCCUCGCCCGUCCCCAUCCGCGGCGAGGCUCGGGCGGGGGCAGGCGGGCGGCGGGGCGGUCACUGCCGCCCGGAGAAGGACGCCCGCCGACCUGGGGCUGCGCGCCCCCCCGCCGCCGCCGCGCGGACAGCCAGAGGCGGCCGCCUGCCGCUCGCCCCGCGGAGACGCGCGGGUGCCAUAGCAGCGGGGCCGGGGGCAGGGGCGUGGGCGGGCGGCGGCCACAAGAAAGUUUGCCGGCCCCGCGGCGAGGUGCUCGGCCGCCCCGCGCUAGUCCUCGCCGCAAAGUUUCACUCCGAGAGCCGCCGGCUGCGGGUCCGACUCCUCGGGGACGGCCCCUCCAUCACCCACCGCUCCUCACGGGACGAGGAGGAGGAAAGAAGGGGAAGGCAGCACGCGGCGGGACGGCAGCGGGGCCGGGGCACAGCUUUUCCUUCUCCCCACGGAACACCGCAAGCACCCCUUAGGGAGCCAGCUCCCCUCUGCCGCCCGCCCCGCCGGGCGCGGGCUUUGUAG
rnacentral:lncRNA from 1 species